rnacentral:rRNA from 1 species
AUUGAACGCUGGCGGCAGGCUUAACACAUGCAAGUCGAGCGGGGUGAUGGUGCUUGCACUAUCACUUAGCGGCGGACGGGUGAGUAAUGCUUAGGAAUCUGCCUAUUAGUGGGGGACAACAUCUCGAAAGGGAUGCUAAUACCGCAUACGUCCUACGGGAGAAAGCAGGGGAUCACUUGUGACCUUGCGCUAAUAGAUGAGCCUAAGUCGGAUUAGCUAGUUGGUGGGGUAAAGGCCUACCAAGGCGACGAUCUGUAGCGGGUCUGAGAGGAUGAUCCGCCACACUGGGACUGAGACACGGCCCAGACUCCUACGGGAGGCAGCAGUGGUGAAUAUUGGACAAUGGGGGGAACCCUGAUCAAGCAAUGCCGCGUGUGUGAAGAAGGCCUUAUGGUCGUAAAGCACUUUAAGCGAGGAGGAGGCUCUUUUGGUUAAUACCCAAGAUGAGUGGACGUUACUCGCAGAAUAAGCACCGGCUAACUCUGUGCCAGCCGCCGCGGUAA